UAGGGAAUCUUCGGCAAUGGGGGGAACCCUGACCGAGCAACGCCGCGUGAGUGAAGAAGGUUUUCGGAUCGUAAAGCUCUGUUGUUAAGGAAGAACGAGUGUGAGAAUGGAAAGUUCAUACUGUGACGGUACUUAACCAGAAAGGGACGGCUAACUACGUGCCAGCAGCCGCGGUAAUACGUAGGUGGCAAGCGUUGUCCGGAUUUAUUGGGCGUAAAGCGAGCGCAGGCGGUCAAUUAAGUCUGAUGUGAAAGCCCCCGGCUCAACCGGGGAGGGUCAUUGGAAACUGGUUGACUUGAGAGCAGAAGAGGAGAGUAGAAUUCCAUGUGUAGCGGUGAAAUGCGUAGAUAGAUGGAGGCACACCAGUGGCGAAGGCGACUCGCUGGUAUGUAACUGACGCUGAGGUUAGAAAGCGUGGGUAGCAAACAGG
rnacentral:rRNA from 1 species